CAGGGUUGGAAGCCUGUUUACUUACUGCACAGGAACACUGCCGUACUCCAAGUACCAUGAUCUGCUUCAGGGGAGAAGCAAGAUCAGCAGGACACAGUUCUUGCUUUCAAGGAAUUUGUAGACUCAGGACGUGUUAUUAAAUGAACCAUUGCGUGCAGUGUUAUGUGCACUUACGAAAGUCUGUGCAAAACCCAGAAUGUACCUAGGGGAAGGAAUUCUGCCUGGGGAGGUGAAGAGAGCCACCAAGGACAUGCUCUGGAUGACAAAAUGGGAGGCAGGAAGGAACAUCUGGACGAAGGCAGAGACAGAAUCAGUCGAGCUGAUGAAGAUGCUUCCCAGUUUGGCCACCACUGUGCACCCAUGAUCACAUGUGCAGAAGGUGACCGAUGAUGCCUUUCUAGAAUGUAAACUGCCCACAAGGUGUAAUUGACUUGAUGCCAAUUAACCCCAGAGCAUGUGGUGGCUGGGGGCUAAGUUGAACAAACCUGAACCUGAGCUUAACCGAUCGUAAGAAUUCCGGCGAUUUGAGCCAUCCUUGUACUGUGCCCUGACAAUGACUUACAGAAACUGUGGUGUGCUGAUUUUCUCCAGGCAGAGCAUCUCAAGGGCAAUGCCACUAUCAACAUAGUUUACAAACCUUUUCCCCAUGGAGGGGAAGACAGUGGCACUUGCAUGAAGCACCAAAAGCAAUCCCUGCCCUUUCCUGAGAGCAAUACACAUGCAUUCAGACAGUCUUCUUUUUGUCUUCUACAUCUUUCUUUAACACAAGGAAAUGAACACGG
rnacentral:lncRNA from 1 species